UGCGCAGGUGGUUAUAUAAGUCAGAUGUGAAAUCCCUGGGCUUAACCUAGGAAUUGCGUUUGAAACUAUAUAGCUAGAGUGUGACAGAGGGGAGUGGAAUUCCAUGUGUAGCAGUGAAAUGCGUAGAGAUGUGGAAGAACACCGAUGGCGAAGGCAGCUCCCUGGGUUAACACUGACGCUCAUGCACGAAAGCGUGGGGAGCAAACG
rnacentral:rRNA from 1 species